rnacentral:ncRNA from 1 species
CCGUCGCGAGACAGGUUAGUUUUACCCUACUGUUGGCAGUUAUGUCGUUGAUACAGCAGUCCUGCUCAGUACGAGAGGAACGGCAGGUCCGGACAUAUGGUUCCGCUCUUGGUCGAUCGGCCAGUGGAGCGAGGCUACGUCCGUGGGAUUAUGCCUGAAAGCCUCUAAGGCAGAAUCCCGGCUGGAUGACCAACGAUACCGCGUACGGCUUGCAUCGGGAUGGUCACCAUUGUUUUUCGAGAGAUUUGUUCCCCGCCCGUUCGCGGGCGGGGCCAGAAUAUGGACCCGUGCAGAGGGAAUUCGGGAGAGUCUUGACAAAAAGGCUCCGGCUCUCCCUUCCCUAGUAGAGAACACCCGAAUGCUGAUGUGUCGUACCGAAUCGUUCGCAGACGACUUACGUACCGGUCAGGGUGUUGUGGGCGGCAGAGCAGCAUCCUCACUGCGAUCCGCUAAGACUUCUCCCUAACAAGGCUGGAGGUUUCGU